rnacentral:rRNA from 1 species
UACGUAGGGUGCGAGCGUUAAUCGGAAUUACUGGGCGUAAAGCGUGCGCAGGCGGUUUGGUAAGACAGGCGUGAAAUCCCCGAGCUUAACUUGGGAAUGGCGCUUGUGACUGCCAGGCUAGAGUAUGUCAGAGGGGGGUAGAAUUCCACGUGUAGCAGUGAAAUGCGUAGAGAUGUGGAGGAAUACCGAUGGCGAAGGCAGCCCCCUGGGACGUCACUGACGCUCAUGCACGAAAGCGUGGGGAGCAAACAGGAUUAGAUACCCUGGUAGUCCACGCCCUAAACGAUGUCAACUAGUUGUUGGGAAUUCAUUUUCUCAGUAACGUAGCUAACGCGUGAAGUUGACCGCCUGGGGAGUACGGUCGCAAGAUUAAAACUCAAAG